GAGGGUGCAAGUUGCUAGGUUAUUGUGAGAGUGUAAACACUUGGGUUGGGGAUUAUAAGCUUAAUCAUUUUUAAGCUUACCAAACACUUGGGAAGUAAGGUUUAUAACACAUUUCGGUUCAAGGUUUAGAUUGGUCAUAAAGCAUUCAAGGUAUUCCAAAACUCUAGUUCAUUUGGUAUUAUUUUCUUCAAGUUCUUAUAGUUUUCUACUCAGCCCCUAACUUUAUUAUUUAUUCUUGGAUAGGAAAUCUAAGUUCUUGAACAUAAGGUUUUUGGAGUGUUCCAAAGUCCCAAAACUGUUCUCAUAUCCCGGUAUUUUUGUGUGAUGCAGGAAAAUGAAUAUGGAAGGCGGAAGGAUUCUUGGUAGCUUAGCUUGUGUGUUGAGGAUGGAUGGAAUGUGUGGACUGCGUGUCAAUCGAGGAUGAAGUUAUUUAUUUAUUUUUAGUCUUUUAAAUCAUGUUUUUUUUCCGCAUUUGGUUUUGUAAAUAAUUUUCUUUAGUUUACAAUUAUGUUUUAUGUUUUAAACAAUGGGUACCCAUGCCA